rnacentral:rRNA from 1 species
AGAGUUUGAUCCUGGCUCAGGAUGAACGCUGGCGGCAUGCCUUACACAUGCAAGUCGAACGGCAGCACGGGAGCAAUCCUGGUGGCGAGUGGCGAACGGGUGAGUAAUAUAUCGGAACGUGCCCAGUCGUGGGGGAUAACGCAGCGAAAGCUGUGCUAAUACCGCAUACGAUCUCUGGAUGAAAGCGGGGGACUCGCAAGGGCCUCGCGCGAUUGGAGCGGCCGAUAUCAGAUUAGCUAGUUGGCGGGGUAAAGGCCCACCAAGGCGACGAUCUGUAGCUGGUCUGAGAGGACGACCAGCCACACUGGAACUGAGACACGGUCCAGACUCCUACGGGAGGCAGCAGUGGGGAAUUUUGCACAAUGGGCGCAAGCCUGAUGCAGCGACGCCGCGUGAGGGAUGACGGCCUUCGGGUUGUAAACCUCUUUCAGUAGGGAAGAAGCGAAAGUGACGGUACCUGCAGAAGAAGCGCCGGCUAACUACGUGCCAGCAGCCGCGGUAAUACGUAGGGCGCAAGCGUUAUCCGGAAUUAUUGGGCGUAAAGAGCUCGUAGGCGGUUUGUCGCGUCUGCCGUGAAAGUCCGGGGCUCAACUCCGGAUCUGCGGUGGGUACGGGCAGACUAGAGUGAUGUAGGGGAGACUGGAAUUCCUGGUGUAGCGGUGAAAUGCGCAGAUAUCAGGAGGAACACCGAUGGCGAAGGCAGGUCUCUGGGCAUUAACUGACGCUGAGGAGCGAAAGCAUGGGGAGCGAACAGGAUUAGAUACCCUGGUAGUCC